UACGGAGGAUGCAAGCGUUAUCCGGAAUGAUUGGGCGUAAAGCGUCCGCAGGUGGCUAUGUAAGUCUGCUGUUAAAGAGUCUAGCUCAACUAGAUAAGAGCAGUGGAAACUACAAGGCUAGAGUACGUUCGGGGCAGAGGGAAUUCCUGGUGUAGCGGUGAAAUGCGUAGAUAUCAGGAGGAACACCGGUGGCGAAGGCGCUCAUCUGGCCCAAUACUGACGCUGAAGCUCGAAAGCUAGGGGAGCAAACGGG
rnacentral:rRNA from 1 species